rnacentral:lncRNA from 1 species
UUUGAAAGAACAGCUUUAUUUGCCAUUGCUAAUGGCCAGCAUGGAUAUUUACCAGACACAGGCAUUUUAGUUUCUGCUCUAUUAUUCACAGCUUCCCUGCAUGCUAAAAUUCCCUUUAUUUAUGUUGCAGAAAGUGUGUUUGAGGACUUCUCCCACGGCUCUUCCACUGAUGCUGUAUCUGAGGUGUUUACAACAAGAAGUGAUCUCUAAAUAUCUUAGUCUUGGUGGCGUACAGCAAGUGUCUACAGAGGAGUAUUUGGGAUGAGGACAGUUGGAGGUGGGAGUAUGAGUGGGCUGCUUGGGGUAUUUUGGUAAGUCUUAUGCCUCUUAGUUUUAAGAUUAUUUCAGUAUGGUCCUGCUCUGGAAUAUUUGCAGCAUCUUUUCACAUCUGCUCAGUUUUUUAUAAUUUUUCAUUGUUUCCUUGUUGUAAAAGAGUUUUUUUUUGUUAUGUAAAAUUGUGAGGCAAGAACAUGUAGCACUAAAUUAUUAUAAUCAGAGUAUGGCUCGCUUUUUACACGGCUUAACCUC